rnacentral:tRNA from 1 species
GCCGGCAUAGCUCAGUGGUAGAGCAACACUUUUGUAAAGUGAAGGUCAGGGGUUCAAAUCCCUUUGCCGGCU